rnacentral:rRNA from 1 species
CGAACGGUGAAGCCCAGCUUGCUGGGUGGAUCAGUGGCGAACGGGUGAGUAACACGUGAGCAACCUGCCCCUGACUCUGGGAUAAGCGCUGGAAACGGCGUCUAAUACUGGAUAUGUACCACGAUCGCAUGGUCUGUGGUUGGAAAGAUUUUUCGGUUGGGGAUGGGCUCGCGGCCUAUCAGCUUGUUGGUGAGGUAAUGGCUCACCAAGGCGUCGACGGGUAGCCGGCCUGAGAGGGUGACCGGCCACACUGGGACUGAGACACGGCCCAGACUCCUACGGGAGGCAGCAGUGGGGAAUAUUGCACAAUGGGCGCAAGCCUGAUGCAGCAACGCCGCGUGAGGGAUGACGGCCUUCGGGUUGUAAACCUCUUUUAGCAGGGAAGAAGCGAAAGUGACGGUACCUGCAGAAAAAGCGCCGGCUAACUACGUGCCAGCAGCCGCGGUAAUACGUAGGGCGCAAGCGUUAUCCGGAAUUAUUGGGCGUAAAGAGCUCGUAGGCGGUUUGUCGCGUCUGCUGUGAAAUCCGGAGGCUCAACCUCCGGCCUGCAGUGGGUACGGGCAGACUAGAGUGCGGUAGGGGAGAUUGGAAUUCCUGGUGUAGCGGUGGAAUGCGCAGAUAUCAGGAGGAACACCGAUGGCGAAGGCAGAUCUCUGGGCCGUAACUGACGCUGAGGAGCGAAAGGGUGGGGAGCAAACAGGCUUAGAUACCCUGGUAGUCCACCCCGUAAACGUUGGGAACUAGUUGUGGGGUCCAUUCCACGGAUUCCGUGACGCAGCUAACGCAUUAAGUUCCCCGCCUGGGGAGUACGGCCGCAAGGCUAAAACUCAAAGGAAUUGAC